GAGCUGCUAGUCCAACAAAGACAACUGAUUUCGACUCAGUUAAUUAUGGUUUAACCCCAUAGCACCUCU
rnacentral:tRNA from 1 species